rnacentral:lncRNA from 12 species
CCCCCCCCCCCCCCCCCCCCCCCCCCCCCCCCCCCCCCCCCCCCCCCCCCCCCCCCCCCCCCCCCCCCCGGUACCAGAGCCCCAGUGGUACCAGAGCCCCAGCAGCACCGGAACCCCAGUGGUACCAGAACCCCAGUGGUACCAGAACCGCAGCGGCACCAGAACCGCAGCGGCACCAGAGCACCAGCGGUACCAGAACCGCAGCGGUACCAGAACUGCAGCGGCACCAGAACCGCAGCGGCACCAGAACCCCAGCGGUACCAGAACCUCACUGGGACCAGAGCCCCACUGGGACCAGAACCUCACUGGUAUCACAACCCCACUGGUACAAGAAUUCCACUUGCAAAAAUCCCACUGGUACCAGAACCCCAUCAGCACCAGAAUCCCACCAGUACCAGAACCCCCACUGGCACCAGAAUCCCACUGACACAAAAAUCCCACUGGUCCCAGAAUCCCACCAGUACCGUGCCCCCUCCCCCUUCCCGGGUCCAUUCCUGGUCCCCCUCGCGCCCCCCGCCCCCGUUCCGCUCCCGCCCCCCCCCCCCCCCCCCCCCGCCCCCCGCCCCCGUUCCGCUCCCGAUAAGGCUCCGGCUCCGGCUCCGGCUGCGAUAAGGGCGGGAGGCGCUGCCGGGGGCCCUCCAGUUCCACCAGUCUGACCAGUUUGGGGGUCCUGGGGCUGAGUCCAGCUCUGCCCAGUCCAUCCCAGUUCACCCCUGGGCUUUCCCAGUUCAUCCCAGUUCGCCCAGGUGCUGCCUUCAGCCCUUCCCAGUUGCCUGGGCCCUUCCCAGUUAAGUCUCGUGGCUCCCAGUGCAUUCCACGUGCACACUCCAGUCCCUCCCAGUCGCUCCCAGUCCCCCCAGCGCUGGGGGUCAGAGUCCCUCGCUGUCACAGGGUGGGACAGAGUGACAGAGGGACAAAGGGACAGACAAAGGGACAAAGGGACAGACAAAGGGACAAAGGGACAAAGGCCACCGUGGGAACGGGAAAUGUCACCAAAGGGAACAACCGGGAAUGUCACCUGCGGGAAUUCCCCUGCCGCAGUUCCGGGACUCCCCGUUUCCAAAUUUCCACCCCCCGGCCGCAGUUCCGGGACUCCCCGUUUCCAAAUUUCCAAAAUCCCAAAAUUUCCCCAAAACGUGUCCCCAGCCGCCUUUGGAACCACAGGACCCGUCUCCUUUCCAGACUCUUUUAUUUCCCACCCUUUAAAAAACCCCAAAGUAGUAAAAAAAACCACCAAAAAAAAAAAAACCCCCCCCCCCCCCCCCCCCCCCCCCCCCCCCCCCCCCCCCCCCCCCCCCCCCCCCCCCCCCCC